CCGCCCGAGCCGCCGGCCCUGAGGGCCGCGGGGGGGUGCUCCGAGCCGGCUGUGCGGGCGGACGGACGGAUGGGACCGCAUCACAGUGUGCCUCGUUUUCUUGUCAGGACAGAUUCAGUGCUGGGUGGGAGCACUGCUGGCCCCGGGUCUGUAGUGCAGUGAUGUAGCUGGUCAGUCAGCGUUCACAGAUUUACCGAAUAGGCCAAGAUGGAAGCACCACAAACUUGGGUCCAAACUCCCUGCUCUGCUCCAGCAGGCUCAUCCCAGAGCACACAGCACUGGAUCGUGUCCAGACAGUUCUGGAAUAUCUGCAGUGAGGGAGACCCCACACCCUGAAUGAUCUCUGUGCAAGUGCACUGUCACUCACUGUUGUUUUCAUGCUCGCUUCAGUGAUUGCUGUGUCCCCGAUUCUUUAUGCAUGUCAAACUCGUGCAGGUAGAGAAGCCUCUAGGAUGUUGAAGGUUGGAGAAGGACUUGUAAUGGAGCAGGACCCCAGCAGGAAGAACUGCCACUGUUCUCACUCACUCAUUCCCUCGCUAUCCCCUGGACACUGGGCAGAGGCACCUUCUGAGGCUGCUCGAGGCUCAUCAUCUCUGUGAACCCUGGGAGCUCACGUACCAUGGCAUUCAACUCAAUAACCUGGUAAUAAAAUACUAACAGUGCCCUGCUCCUCUCCUUCCAUUCUCUCCUCCCCACUUCUGUGUACUCCUCACUUUUUGCCUGUGCUAACCAAUAACCAAGUUCUUCAGCAAUACACUUUUUAAGUCAAGUACUAGCAGUGCUGCUUUGUUGGUGUCACAGCUGGAACCAGUCCCUCUUAGGCUGUGGUGCCUUCCCAGGACGCUCACUAAAAAUUAACUUUUCAAGAUAACGUAAAUCGUUUGCUGUCCUCAUAUGACAAAUGCUGCAACACUCCAUGGCUAAAUUGCCCUUUUUUACUUAUCAGCUGCUGCAUCCAUCAUUUCCAAUAAAAAUAAAGCCAGCAAUUAUCUCUGGGAA